rnacentral:rRNA from 1 species
GUCAGUCUGUCUAAAAGUUCGGGGCUUAGCCGUGAUGGAUUGAAACUGCCAAUCUAGAGUAUUGGAGAGGAAAGUGAAUUCCUAGUGUAGCGUGAAAUGCGUAGAUAUAGGAAGAACACCAGUGGCGAAGGCGACUUUCUGACGAAAACUGACGCUGAGGCGCCGAAAGCCAGGGGAGCGAACGGGAUUAGAUACCCCGGUAGUCCUGGCCCGUAAACGAUGGGUACUAGGUGUAGGAGGUAUCGACCCCUUCUGUGCCGGAGUUAACGCAAUAAGUACCCCGCCUGGGGAGUACGACCGCAAGGUUGAAACUCAAAGGAAUUGACGGGGGCCCGCACAAGCGGUGGAGUAUGUGGUUUAAUUCGACGCAACGCGAAGAACCUUACCAGGUCUUGACAUUGAUGGACAGAACCAGAGAUGGUUCCUCUUCUUCGGAAGCCAGAAAACAGGUGGUGCACGGUUGUCGUCAGCUCGUGUCGUGAGAUGUUGGGUUAAGUCCCGCAACGAGCGCAACCCCUAUCUUAUGUUGCCAGCACGUAAUGGUGGGAACUCAUGAGAGACUGCCGCAGACAAUGCGGAGGAAGGCGGGGAUGACGUCAAAUCAUCAUGCCCCUUAUGACCUGGGCUACACACGUACUACAAUGGGAGUUAAUAGACGGAAGCGAGAUCGCGAGAUGGAGCAAACCCGAGAAACACUCUCUCAGUUCGGAUCGUAGGCUGCAACUCGCCUACGUGAAGUCGGAAUCGCUAGUAAUCGCAGGUCAGCAUACUGCGGUGAAUACGUUCCCGGGCCUUGUACACACCGCCCGUCACACCACGAAAGUCGGAAGUGCCCAAAGCCGGUGGGGUAACCUUCGGGAG